rnacentral:rRNA from 1 species
UCUGUAAAGCGGCAGCCUAACCAUGCAAGUCGAGCGGUAGAGAGGUGCUUGCACCUCUUGAGAGCGGCGGACGGGUGAGUAAUGCCUAGGAAUCUGCCUGGUAGUGGGGGAUAACGCUCGGAAACGGACGCUAAUACCGCAUACGUCCUACGGGAGAAAGCAGGGGACCUUCGGGCCUUGCGCUAUCAGAUGAGCCUAGGUCGGAUUAGCUAGUUGGUGAGGUAAUGGCUCACCAAGGCGACGAUCCGUAACUGGUCUGAGAGGAUGAUCAGUCACACUGGAACUGAGACACGGUCCAGACUCCUACGGGAGGCAGCA